UAUCUUGUAGCUCAAUGGUAGAGCGUCUGACUACUGUGAAGAAGGUCACAUGUUCGAUUACUGUUGAUAGAA
rnacentral:tRNA from 1 species